rnacentral:rRNA from 1 species
AAUAGUAUGAGUUUGAUCCUGGCUCAGGAUGAACGCUAAUGGUAUGCUUAACACAUGCAAGUCGACUAAUAAAUUAAAUCUAUUAGUGGCGAACGGGUGAGUAACACGUAAGAAUCCUUCAUUUUGGAUUGGAAUAAGCUAAAGAAAUUUAGUCUAAUACCAAAUAAGGCUUUUUUAAACAAUAAAGAUAUACUUUUAUUUGAAGCUGAAACCAAAAAAUGGGCUUGCGGCUGAUUAGCUAGUUGGUAAGGUAAUAGCUUACCAAGGCGAUAAUCUGUAGCUGUUUUGAGAAAAAGACCGGCCACAUUGGGACUGAGACACGGCCCUAGCUCCUACGGGAGGCAGCAGUGAGGAAUAUUCCGCAAUGGGCGAAAGCCUGACGGAGCAAUACCAUAUGACUGAAGAAGGCAAAGUUGUAAAAGUCUGUUUUUAGGGAAGAAAAAAAUGACAUUAACUAAAAAUUAGUAUCGGCUAACUCUGUGCCAGCAGCCGCGGUAAUACAGAGGAUGCAAGCGUUAUCCGGUUUUAUUGGGCGUAAAGAGUCUGUAGGUUGUUUUUUAUAUCUUUUUUUAAAACUUAAAGCUCAACUUUAAGAAAAUUAAAGAUACUUUAGAACUUGAGACUAAUAGAGGCAAAGGGAAUUUCUAGUGGAGCGGUGGAAUGCAUAGAUAUUGGAAGGACCACCAAAGGCGAAGGCACUUUGCUGGGUUAGUUCUAACACUGAGAGACGAAAGCAAGGGUAGCGAAUAGGAUUAGAUACCCUAGUAGUCCUUGCUGUAAACGAUGGGGGCUAGAUGUUGGAAUUCAUUCAGUGUCUAAGUUAACACGCUAAGCCCCCCGCCUGGGGAGUACGGUCGCAAGGCUGAAACUUAAAGGAAUUGGCAGGAGCUUACACAAUUGGUGGAGCAUGUGGUUUAAUGCGAUGUUACACGCAGAACCUUACCGGGACUUGACAUGAUUAUCUACCUAUUUUGUAAUGAAAAUAGUAUAUUUCGAUAUUCACAGGUGGUGCAUGGUUGUCAAGUUCGUGUUGUGAAAUGUUGGGUUAAGUCCCGCAACGGACGGAACCCUAAUUUUUUAUUAUUUUAGUACAUAAAAAUUAAAAAUUUUAGGAUUUCGACAAAUCUUUAUGCUCCUUAUGUCCCGGGCUACACAUGUGCUACAAUGGUUGACACAAUAUAUUGGUAUUUUCAAAAUCAAUCAUAGUUUGGAUUAUAAACUGAAACUCGUUUAUAUGAAACCGGAAUCAAUAGUAAUCGCAGGUCAGCUAUACUGCGGUGAACCGUCACUGGGCUCGGUACAUACCGCCCGUCACACCCUGGAAAUUAAUCUUAUUCUUCGAUCGUUCUUCAAUAUUUGAAUAAAAUAAAAGAGACUUUCUAAAAUAAGGUUAUUGACUAAGGUGAAGUCGUAACAAGGUAGCCGUACUGGAAGGUGUGGCUGAUGAAUAGAAUAA